UACGUAGGCAGCGAGCGUUGUUCGGAUUUACUGGGCGUAAAGAGUGCGUAGGCGGUUUUUUAAGUUUGGUGUGAAAUCUCCCGGCUCAACUGGGAGGGUGCGCCGAAGACUGGAAGGCUUGAGUAUGGGAGAGGUAAGCGGAAUUCCUGGUGUAGCGGUGAAAUGCGUAGAGAUCCGGAGGAACACCAGUGGCGAAGGCGACACGCUGGGCCGUACCUGACACUGAUGCGCGACAGCAUGGGGAGCAAACAGG
rnacentral:rRNA from 1 species